GAUGAAGAACGCAGCGAAAUGCGAUACGUAAUGUGAAUUGCAGAAUUCAGUGAAUCAUCGAAUCUUUGAACGCAUAUUGCGCUCUCUGGUAUUCCGGAGAGCAUGCUUGUUUGAGUAUCAGUAAACACCUCAACUUCCAUAUCUUUUUUGAAAUGGGAGUUGGACUUGAGUGAUCCCAACGCUUUUCCUCACCGAAAAGUGGCGGGUUACUUGAAAUGCAGGUGCAGCUGGACUUUUCUCUGAGCUAUAAGCAUAUCUAUUUAGUCUGCCUAAAAAACAGAUUAUUACCUUUGCUGCAGCUAACAUAAAGGAGAUUAGUUCUUGUGCUGACUGAUGCAGGAUUCACAAAGACAGGCUUCGGCCGACUUUGUAAACUCGAUCUCAAAUCAAGUAAGACUACCCGCUGAACUUAAGCAUAUCAAUAAGCGGUGGA
rnacentral:misc_RNA from 1 species